GAUUUAUUUUCUAAGCUCAGAAUUUUCCAUUUCCACAACUAGAAUAUUCGAUGAAACAGAUUCAGUUAUUUCCAUAAUUUUGUAUAAAGUUUUUUCUUGAGUUAACACUUUUGUUUAAAUUCACUGGAUUUCGGUAUGCAAGCUUUUAAAGCAGCUCACAACAUCAUUUAGACAAAUUCAAAGGAAUUUUCAUUCAAGCCAGAUACUGAUC